rnacentral:lncRNA from 1 species
UAAGAGUGGGGCCCUAGUCUGAUAGGACUGGUGUCCUUACAAGAAGAGGGAGAGUCCUCAGAGAGUCCUCUCUCUCGGCAUGGACACAAAAGAAAAGCAUGUGAGGACACAGAGAGAAGGUGGCUGUCUACGAGCUAGGAAGAAAGGCCUCACCGGAAACCAACCCUCACAGCAGCUCCAUCUUGGACUUCCAGCCUCCGGAACUGUGAGAAAAUAAAUGUUUGCAAUUCAGGCUCAGAGCCACUCAGACAUUGGGAAGCAAGUUUGUCAAGAUGACAGAGAACCGAGGUAAUGGAUUCGAGUGAUGAAACAGGAAGUUCAUUCAUGAGUUUUUGGCCACACCUCCAAAGUGACGACUUAGCCAGAAAUGGGAUAACUGGGUUUCCCUACUUCUCUUUUAUCAUCCUCAAUGAGAGUGACCAAAUAUUAGAGCUAGAUGGAACCUUAGUGAAAAUCUGGCUACUCGUCCCGUCCCACCAGCCUGCCACCCAUUUCAAGUUUGAAGAGACAAAGACACAUGGACCUUAUGUAAUUACUGGGGAUUACCCCAGGAGUCUGUGGCAAAAGUCAGCUUCUUCCCUCCCUGCUUCCCCGCCCUGUCUCUGGUGCUUUCUACCAACACUGGGCUGUUUCUGUGAUCAUACUUAAGCGUACCUAACCUGUGAAUGCUGUAUAGAAGGUGCUAAUGAACAUGAUUUAGCUUUAACACUCAGUUUUCUAAAGGGACACGUGGGGGCAGCAAAUGUUUAGGGAAAAACAAUUCCAGUUCUAGCCUCUACUGUCUACAUAUGUGUAUACAUUUUGGAAACGUUUGGAAAAGGGAUAUUUGAGAGCUUCUUUUUCUUUUUUGUGGUUUAGUUAUUUGAUGAUAUUGAGAUUGUUUCUGAGCCAUGUGCUUCAACAUCGGAUUGGGGAUUUCAGAAAAAGUUUUAGUCACUGUGAUUCAAUUUAGCUUCCAAAUGUGUCUCUGCUAAGAGACUUAAAAGCACUCAUAAAUA